rnacentral:rRNA from 1 species
GAUGAACGCUAGCUACAGGCUUAACACAUGCAAGUCGAGGGGUAACGAGAGGGAAGCUUGCUUUCCUUGUCGACGACCGGCGGAUGGGUGAGUAACGCGUAUCCAACCUGCCCUUCAGUAAGGGAUAGCCUUUCGAAAGAAAGAAUAAUACCUUAUGUGGUCGUCAGAAGACAUCAGACGACGAUCAAAGAUUUAUCGCUGAAGGAUGGGGAUGCGUCCCAUUAGGCAGUAGGCGGGGUAACGGCCCACCUAACCUACGAUGGGUAGGGGUUCUGAGAGGAAGGUCCCCCACAUUGGAACUGAGACACGGUCCAAACUCCUACGGGAGGCAGCAGUGAGGAAUAUUGGUCAAUGGCCGUAAGGCUGAACCAGCCAAGUAGCGUGCAGGAUGACGGCCCUAUGGGUUGUAAACUGCUUUUAAACGGGGAUAAAGUGAGCCACGUGUGGUUUAUUGCAGGUACCGUUUGAAUAAGGACCGGCUAAUUCCGUGCCAGCCGCCGCGGUAACAC